CUCACGGCUGAAGUAGGAUUCAAGAAAUCCAACACCACAUGCUCUCUGCAUCUCACGUGUUCAGCUUCCUCACCAUAUUCAAAUUCAGUCACAGGAAACACACCGGCUCUGCCAUGCCAGAGCUCAUCGCCGACGGCGGCGGAGCGCUAAUCAACACAAAACCACCACCAAUAUGAUCGUCUGUCAUCGCUCUACUCAAAUCUGCAUCUAAUUGGUUCAGAUUAUCCCCCUACAUCUCAAACCGAACACGAAUACACAAGAACCCUAACUUCAAAAAUCAAAAUUAAGUGCAACUCGUGAGGAAUUGAAACCUCUCACCUGAGGGUUUUUAUUCCUCAAUUCAAAUUUUACAUGAUGGAAACUUCAAUUUGAAGAAAAUGGAGCAAAAUAAGACCUAUCGAAGAAGCUCUUUCUCCGAAAAUGCGAGAAUUCAAUCUCAAGCAUGCUGCUGUAGAUUUAUUGAUGUGCAGGUGCAAGAAUAAUCGGUUACUGUAACCGGUUAUCACCACGAAAGUUGGUUCUCUAGGCUGCAUAAUGAGGUUAUGUGAAGCAGUCAUAAUCGGUUACAGUCAAAGAGAAUCAGUCUAAAUAAGGAAAUAAAACAAAUCUUCCUCGUCCUCUUGCUAUGGCUUAUAGCAUCUACUACGGGUGGUCGUAGCAGCUCCUUGGUUUUUUGUACUAAGAGUGAAGCAAAGGGCAGCCCUUGGGUCUUCAGCUGUUAUGGGUGGUUGUAACAACUCUCUAGUUUUACUAUGGGGAAAUUCGUCUUUUUUCACGUUGCCUAGUUUUAUUUGUCUUUGAUCCCUAAUUGUCUUGUAUGCACAUUAGGCCCUGAAAAUAGCAAGAACAUACAAACCAAAGCAUAAAACAUGGUAAUUGGAAGUAAGCCAAACAAAAUGCGACAAAAUACUGAGAGAAAGGGACUAGAAAUAACGAUGUGAAAACCAUUUAUCAAGGUUGAAGAUGAAAGAAAUUUGUUUGCAAGA